UCUUGGCUGGCUCAGUUGGAAGAGCACGUGACUCUUGAUCUUGGGGCUGUGAGUUCAAGUCCCACGCUAGGGG
rnacentral:tRNA from 1 species